UACAGAGGGGGCAAGCGUUGUUCGGAAUUACUGGGCGUAAAGGGCGCGUAGGCGGCCCGCUAAGUCGAACGUGAAAUCCCCGAGCUCAACUCGGGAACUGCGUCCGAUACUGGUGGGCUUGAAUCCGGGAGAGGGAUGCGGAAUUCCAGGUGUAGCGGUGGAAUGACGUAGAGAUCCGGAAGAACACCGGUGGCGAAGGCGGCCUGCUGGCCUGUUCUUGACGCUGAGGCGCGAAAGCCAGGGGAGCAAAGCGGG
rnacentral:rRNA from 1 species